rnacentral:rRNA from 1 species
GGACUACUAGGGUAUCUAAUCCUGUUUGAUCCCCACGCUUUCGUGCCUCAGUGUCAAUUGCACCGUAGUAAGCUGCCUUCGCAAUUGGUGUUCUGUGACAUAUCUAUGCAUUUCACCGCUACUUGUCACAUUCCGCUUACCUCCAGUGUAUUCAAGCCCAUCAGUAUCAAAGGCACUGCGACAGUUAAGCUGCCGUCUUUCACCCCUGACUUAAUAGGCCACCUACGCACCCUUUAAACCCAAUAAAUCCGGAUAACGCUCGGAUCCUCCGUAUUACCGCGGCUGCUGGCAC